rnacentral:tRNA from 2 species
AUUUAAAUAGUUUAAUUAAAAAUAUUGAUUUGUGGUGUCGAUGAUAUGAAUUUAUUCAUUUUAAAUU